rnacentral:rRNA from 1 species
AUUGAACGCUGGCGGUAUGCUUAACACAUGCAAGUCGAACGGUAACAUAAGAGAGCUUGCCCUCUUGAUGACGAGUGGCGGACGGGUGAGUAAUAUAUAGGAACCUUCCUCAUAGUUUAGGAUAAGGCACUCGAAAGAGUGUCUAAUACUGGAUGUGGGACUACGGUUUAAAGCAGGGGAUCUUCGGACCUUGUGCUACGAGAUGGGCCUAUAUGAGAUUAGCUAGUUGGUGAGAUAAAAGCUCACCAAGGCGACGAUCUCUAGCUGGUUUGAGAGGAUGAUCAGCCACACUGGGGACUGAGACACGGCCCAGACUCCUACGGGGGAGGGCAGGGCAGUGGGGGGAAUAUUGGGGACAAUGGGGGGCAACCCUGAUCCAGCAA